rnacentral:rRNA from 1 species
GACGAACGCUGGCGGCGUGCUUAACACAUGCAAGUCGAACGGAAAGGCCCCUUUGGGGGUCCUCGAGUGGCGAACGGGUGCGUAACACGUGAGUAACCUGCCCUUGACUUCGGGAUAACUUCAGGAAACUGGGGCUAAUACCGGAUAGGAAUCCUUGCUGCAUGGUGGGGGUUGGAAAGCUUCGGCGGUUUUAGAUGGACUCGCGGCUUAUCAGCUUGUUGGUGGGGUAGUGGCUUACCAAGGCUUUGACGGGUAGCCGGCCUGAGAGGGCGACCGGCCACAGUGGGACUGAGAGACGGCCCAGACUCCUACGGGAGGCAGCAGUGGGGAAUAUUGCACAAUGGGCGGAAGCCUGAUGCAGCAACGCCGCGUGCGGGAUGACGGCCUUCGGGUUGUAAACCGCUUUCAGCAGGGGCGAAGCUUGUGGUGACGGUACCUGCAGAAGAAGCACCGGCUAACUACGUG